rnacentral:siRNA from 1 species
GCGCGCUACACUGAUGUAUUC